CUGGCGAUGUCUAUGACCACCAUGCCCAUGUACAAGUUCUUGGUGUGAAUUCCGUACGCUUUCGUGACGCUCUUCGACUUUCUGAAGAACGACUUCGACUCUCCCGACUCUUCCAUCAGAUUCCUUGCACGCUCAUGCUGUUUGGCACGUUGUGCAUGUCGUACUUGAAACGAGACGUGAAUCAAGCGUGAAUGACAUGCGACAUGCCGGCACUCGUGUGCGCGCAAUGGUCUCACUGAAAUGAGGCAGAGCAGCUCUCUGGAUGAGGCUGCCACGACGAGACUCUGAGGUGUACUCUGACCUUCCAUCGAAUCCCGUGCCAAUGUACGAAGCGCCGUCAAGCAAAUUCUGAAAACAGAAGGCGGUAAGUGACUAGAACGUCAAUAUUAUUGUUAUUUCUAGAUAUUCGGGUCAUCAGUCAGUGAAACAAGCGUCUUUUUCAGCGUAAAUGACGUCCAACUAGGGUUGGAUGAAUUUCAUAGUUUUGUUGACGUCGAGCAGAUAGCCUGUUUGAACUAUGGUGGUUGAGACGUCUCAAGUUGUAAUUGCUGAAAUGGGCUAGUAUUCAGAGUAAAGUGUGUGGGCAACAUAUGUGGCGUACUAUUGUUGACAGUUGUGCAAGAAUAAUUUUUUCUGACGUAAUCCACAGCUGAAAAGGUCAAGGUCGUAUUAUCUAUGAGAUGCCAAGGGAACAAGCACCCUCUGGUAGAUGCAACUGGUGCGAGCUACAUCAUAAAACUAUAGUCAAUAGGAGUGACUCGAAUUCUGGUACAAUGUUACUGUUCUGAAGAAAGUGUUGUAGGUCUUUCAGAGGAAAUAUGCAUGAAUGCUGACGUCUGAGCUAUAUUUGUUUACUGACAACUUGUAUACUACGGACUAGAGCUGAGUACCUGUUUUCAUUUGUGAAGUUAUAGUGUACUGCAACAUACUUUUGCUAUCAAA